UUGAAGGAUUUGUAAGAAAUGUUUGAGGAACUGACUCGUUGUUUAACACCAAGUCAGUUCCCUCAAACAUUUCUUACAAAUCCUUCAA
rnacentral:miRNA from 1 species